rnacentral:rRNA from 1 species
GAUGAACGCUAGCGACAGGCCUAACACAUGCAAGUCGAGGGGUAACAGGGAGCUUGCUCCGCUGACGACCGGCGCACGGGUGAGUAACGCGUAUGCAACCUACCCAUAAGAGGGGGAUAACCCGGAGAAAUUCGGACUAACACCGCAUAAUAAGAUUUAGAGGCAUCUUUAGAUUUUUAAAUAUUUAUAGCUUAUGGAUGGGCAUGCGUCUGAUUAGAUAGUUGGUGAGGUAACGGCUCACCAAGUCUACGAUCAGUAGGGGUUCUGAGAGGAAGGUCCCCCACACUGGUGCUGAGACACGGACCAGACUCCUACGGGAGGCAGCAGUGAGGAAUAUUGGUCAAUGGGCGAGAGCCUGAACCAGCCAAGUCGCGUGAAGGAGGACGGCCCUAUGGGUUGUAAACUUCUUUUGCAGGGGAAUAAAAAAGGGCACGUGUGCUCUAUUGUAUGUACUCUGCGAAUAAGGAUCGGCUAACUCCGUGCCAGCAGCCGCCGUAAUAC